GGUUUUCUUCUUCUUCUGAAUCGUAAGGUUUGCAUCUUUGAAGUGCAUUGGCCGGUUCCAUCCUUAUACUUUUGUUUGCAUGCAUCGUUACAAUUACCACAAUUUACUCCAGCCAAUUCAGUACUACAAUAUGUGACUCCUUCCAUCUCUUUCACCAUCAUCCCUACAAAACAUAUAUUUUGAAACGUAAAUAUCAUUUCCCAGUUUAAAGAAAACAAAAUGUAUUAAAAAUAUAUGCU